UCCAUUUAAAUACGCUGAGGAAGCCUUCAGCGUCUGAAAAACAUAAUAGUUACAACUUUCAACAACGGAUCUCUUGGUUCUGGCAUCGAUGAAGAACGCAGCGAAAUGCGAUAAGUAGUGUGAAUUGCAGAAUUCAGUGAAUCAUCGAAUCUUUGAACGCACAUUGCGCCCCUUGGUAUUCCAUGGGGCAUGCCUGUUCGAGCGUCAUUUGUACCUUCAAGCUUUGCUUGGUGUUGGGUGUUUGUCUCGCCUUUGCGUGUAGACUCGCCUUAAAACAAUUGGCAGCCGGCGUAUUGAUUUCGGAGCGCAGUACAUCUCGCGCUUUGCACUCAUAACGACGACGUCCAAAAGUACAUUUUUACACUCUUGACCUCGGAUCAGGUAGGGAUACCCGCUGAACUUAAGCAUA
rnacentral:rRNA from 1 species